rnacentral:rRNA from 1 species
CCAGACUCCUACGGGAGGCAGCAGUGGGGGAUAUUGGACAAUGGGGGAAACCCUGAUCCAGCGACGCCGCGUGAGUGAAGAAGUAUUUCGGUAUGUAAAGCUCUGUCAGCAGGGAAGAAAGAAAUGACGGUACCUGACCAAGAAGCCCCGGCUAACUACGUGCCAGCAGCCGCGGUAAUACGUAGGGGGCAAGCGUUAUCCGGAAUUACUGGGUGUAAAGGGAGCGUAGACGGCCAGACAAGUCUGAAGUGAAAAACCAGCGCUUAACGUUGGAAGUGCUUUGGAAACUGCCGGGCUAGAGUGCAGGAGGGGCAGGCGGAAUUCCUAGUGUAGCGGUGAAAUGCGUAGAUAUUAGGAGGAGCACCAGUGGCGAAGGCGGCCUGCUGGACUGCAACUGACGUUGAGGCUCGAAGGCGUGGGGAGCAAACAGGAUUAGAUACCCGUGUAAU